UGUCUCGCAUCUAUAAAGCAAUUGAUACUAAAUUUAGUUUAGAGUGAUUUUUGAUGGUUAGACACUUAAUAAGACAAAAGAUGACUUGUUCCUGCAUUAAUAUUUCCUAGGGGAGUGUUGUGGAAAGAACCCUCUAAAGGAAUAAGUUCCUUCAUUACUCAUAAGCUUUAUGGGUUUUUAUUAUGUUUUAUUUACAUCUUGUGGUUAACUGUACUUCUCUUAUCUUUAGGAGUUCAUUGAUAAGCUGAUUGAGGAGGAUGAAUUUGAUGCAGAUCAAAAGGAUGCAUUUAAGAAUUUUGUCAAAGACAAUGUCCGAGAGGCAAAAAAAGCUAAUAGACAGGCUAGAGAAGCCCGAAAAAAGGCCUUGCAGAAAUGAGUUAGUAGACUAAAGCAACAUUUGAAAACAUGAAGUUUAACAAGUUCUACUCAGUCCAGAUCGAUGA